rnacentral:rRNA from 1 species
UACGGGGGGGGCAAGCGUUGUUCGGAAUUACUGGGCGUAAAGGGCUCGUAGGUGGCCAACUAAGUCAGACGUGAAAUCCCUCGGCUUAACCGGGGAACUGCGUCUGAUACUGGAUGGCUUGAGUUUGGGAGAGGGAUGCGGAAUUCCAGGUGUAGCGGUGAAAUGCGUAGAUAUCUGGAGGGACACCGGUGGCGAAGGCGGCAUCCUGGACCAAUACUGACACUGAGGAGCGAAAGCCAGGGGAGCAAACGGG